UGAAAUUUAAAACAAAUUAACACUGCAUUUGGUCACUAGAAAUCUGCUUUGAAGAAAAAAGACUGACUUUUCCAAAAGUCUAUUAUGUCCGGAUAUAGAGGUUGGUAUUCAACUAAGUUUUUCUCAGAGCAGAACCACUGAAAUGAAUGGACCUAAUUUAGUCAUGUUCAUUAAUUUAAAUGGUUGUAACUCUGACAAAAACUUAGUUGAAAAUGACCAGGAAUAUUUGGUUCACCACGUCCUUGCCCACUAAUAUGGACCUUGUGGCGUUUGAGGAGUGAAAGAACAGCAACCUCAUAAACAGCUGAAAUUUUCUAUAAAAGGAAAGGAAGCUUUUGUUUAUUUGCUUUUUAGUCUGCCUGGCAGUACAAUGGUGGGAGAUGAUUUGUUACAACUUUUCCCACAGACCAAUCCCUGGGAGUACACUUCUAUUAAAAAUGUGUUCUUGUGGUUCUGCAAAAAUAGUAUCUUGUGCGUUCUUUUCCAUUUAAAAUAAUUAGACUGGAGGCCUUCCAGCAAGUCCCUCCUCCUCCUCUUUCUUUAUUUAAUCUAUUCUCACUUUGUUACAUCCUGCUGUAACAGAUGGUUUUAGGAUACUAGCUUGAAGAGAAAUUCUGCAAGUACCCUAGCAUGUCCUUUAUUUUGAAAAUAAAAACAUUGGUCUCAAGAGAUAAUGCGAUAUAUUCAAUGAUGAUUAGGUUCUGGACAUAGCCUUAGAGAUGAAGGGUUUUCUUUUCUUCUCCUAUGAAGUAUUGCAGCUCAGAACAAAAAGCCCUCCCUUCACCUAUCAUGUUUAAUCUAAUGCACAAAAAGUUGGGAAAUAUUUAUACAGCUUCCCAUGCCAUCCAUCAGCCAACUGGCACUAAGUGUAUACAGUCCAUGGAGCAAGCUGCAAAGAGCGCGAGGCCUUACUAAAUCCCAGAGGCUCUAAUGUUGAUGCCUUGAGAUUCUGUAAAUGGUCUCCUUAAAGCCACAAAGCUGUUGUUCGUUCUGCUCCUCUUGCACGAUAUAAGCAAAUUGACAGAAUUUAAGAAGGUGGUGGCAGAGCGGGGUGGGAUAGUCACAGAGAAGGUCAGACCAUUUUAUCCAAAGCUAUUUUCCUUAGGGUAACAUUUUUAAUUCUUUAGGCUAGCCAUGUUAGAAAGUGAGGGCAGUUUUCCUGCCAUUUCUGCUGCAUAGCAGGAACAUUGGCUUGCAGACAACAAAUCUGAAUCAGGCACUUCUCCAGGUAAUGGACUGACUUAUGAUCUAGUAGAUUCGUGCCCAGCCCUCUCCAACCAUAAUGCUCCAUUUUGAGGCACCACAUUGGCCAAGACCAGCAGGAACACAGCUGCCAGUGGUGUUCAGUUGGUCAUGCUUUAAAGUAUCAGCGGCCUCCGCAGUGGCAAAUGCUUCCCAUACUGGCAGAGCAGAGGUCAGGGGAUGGGGACACCUGCAAAAACUUACACGCUUCUUCCCGUCAGCAGGUAUCAGGAGGUUUGGUGUGUCCUUAGCAUUUUCAAGUUCUUAAGGAAUUAUGGCUCUCUUCUAAACAGUUCCACCCUGCAGCCAUUGUGAUUGUGGAUAUAAUAAGAAUAAACGUACAGGGGGAACAAUUCACUCUGAAACCGAGUUGGGAAGAAUGUCUCUUUCUAAGCAGGUUGCCAUUUGCCCAUGAUGGCUCUUAUGGAUGACUCUUGCUGUGGCAUACAUAGGGGGAAGGCAAGAUUUAAGAAAUUAAUUUAGAAACAAGCUGAACAUACUGUCUCAGAAACUAUAGACUGAAAGGUAUACAUUUUAAACUGGGGGGAAAUGAGCCUGAUUUUUCUCCAAAACAUAACUGGAUUGAACCAAGACUGCUUUGUGAUUCUAGAUUAAUUAAGCAAAUACUGUCUAACACUUAUGCAUCUGACUAGAAGUGUAGAUGGUAGCAAGAGUCUGUUCACAGAUAAUCACAACCAUAAGUAAUUAAUGUUGCAGUGCCAGCUAGUAUUUAAAUCAAAUUUAUAGAUUUCAUGUAAACUGCAGAGGAAUCAAAGCAAUAAAAUCCAAUUCCACUAGAGUAACACCAAUACUAAUCAUCAAUAACCAGUAAAAUGCUUUCUUUUUUACUGAAAAAAAUGGCUUUUUUCCACACCUUGUUUUUUUUAACAUAAAGAUUGGUAAGGAGAUCUGGGGAACUGCAAAACAUGUGCACUAUUUUCUGACACUUUCAUUGUAUUUAAUAAAGGUGUGUGCAAGGCCAUCUUAAGCAUAUCCGGUGCCGGGGUGCAAAGAUCCCUCCGGCGCCCACACUUUCCCAGAGUUGUUGACCUUUUUUUAGGGCUGGAGGAGGCUGGCAGUGGCUGGAGGGCAGCUCCUCCGGUGGAGAAGAGGUGGAAGCUGGACGUGGUGCUUCCCAGCUCAGCUGACCACAGCAGGCAGCACGCCAAGCGAGCAGGCCUGCGCUGAGCGAACGAGGGUGUGUGCACCGCUCCCGCCAAGCCUUCUGCCACCCCGCAGAAUUCGGCGCCUGCAGGCUAAAAGGGAAAAACCCGAGCGGUGCACUCAGCGUGCUUGUUCAGUGUUCCCUGUGCUCUCGCCUGGCACCCUCCAGAACUUGGUGCCCUGCUGCCCUGCGCCACUAGCCUCUGUGGGUAAAAUGGGCCUGGGUGUGUGUAUAGAUUAGACAGACAGAUUUCAUCCAGACUUCUUUGGAUAUGUUCAACAAAUUUACAAAAAAUCCAGAUAUAUAUUGAAAUCAUCUGGAGAAUCAGAUGCUCUUUCUCUCCAACAUGUUGUGUUACCCUUGCCAAAAUUGUCACAUGAAACUUGUAGCAUGUAACAGUGUCCAUUUCAGCUCAGGGUGACUCAGGCCUUUUCUAUCCCUGUCUCAAGAAAACAUCCCAGUCAAUGGUAAGGGAUUACAGGAAAUAUAAGGGCUCAUCCAAACCUCCGCUUGUGCUAUGCCUUGAAUGUGCAGGACAGAAUGAUUUUCACUUGACCUGAACUUUCUAGGCAUGGGUCUGAGUGGUUUCUUCUUGCCCCAGUCCUUUUCCAAGGGAAAACCUGCUCUUUAUUGAUAAAUCAGAACAAAUAAUAAUUCGGGGGGGGGGACCACCCAAAUUGCUGUUUGCUCUGAUUGAGUGUUAAAGAGUGGUUUUCCCUCAGAUACAUGGGGAAGUGUGGAUAAGUCCUAAGUGAGGAUAAAUUUAGGUCAAUGGUGCUCAAAGCUACUGGAGAUGCCUGCCCCCCCCCCAAAUGGUUAGGGUUAUUAAUUUUGCUUAAUUGGCUUCUUCCAGCAAAGAAGGUAAGUGCAUCUUCCCCAACAAAUCUGAUUACAGCAAGGAGCUUAUGGGAACAAAGCCUAGUCAAUGUAGUUGGAAGUGUAAAAGUUACAGUUUUUAUGCGGAACUGUUAAUGAGAUUACUUCUGGUACUGCAUAAGGAGUUGGAGAGAAGUGUGCUGCUUUAAAAAUUAUGGAGUCAUUUGAAUUCCGCAGGAGUUGUUUGCACAGCCACAAAGCUUACAAUUCUUUGCAUACUCCAAAGAAGGUGGAAACCACACGGCAUGUCAUUUUAAAAUUUAGCUUUAGAACUACAGAUUUUGCAGUGUAAAUAAACUUCAGUGGGACAGGGAUGAAUACUUCUUCCAGUUGAGAAGAAACAGGCAGGAGGAAAGCAUCAACAGCUAGGGAAGAAAAACUUAUUUGGGGAUUCCUUUGGCUGGUUUCCUUGACUGAGCUCCGGCUCAGAUUAAUAAUGGCAGACAUGCUAGCUGGGCUGUGUUGUGCAUCUGCCAAGCCAGCAUGGUAUAUUCUCAGAACCAAGGGCACCUUACAGUAUAAAUAAAUGGCCUCUGAAAGCAUACUUGUGCGGGGAAGGCUGAGGUGCUCAGCAACUAUGAAACAGAUUUCCAUGGAAAUCAAAAUAGCUCUGCCACUUUGCACCAGGAAAGACUCUUUGCCACAUUCUGCCAAGCGUGCAAGCACCAGACACUCUUUGAAGAAACACAGGCUAAAGGCAACUCCCAGAAAAUUCAUUAUCUUCAUUAAACGAACUCUGGCACAUGGAGACAAAGCCCUUAAAAACACACACACACAAACCAAGCUGCAGAAUAUUUAAAUGCAGAAUCUUUAUUUUAAAUCCCACCUGAGACUUAAGAGAAUCACCACAAUCACUCACCAAAAGGGCUAUGAGCAAUGCUAAAUGGAGAACAGUGAUUUCACAGACACCGCUAACUAGGCCAUAUUCAAUCAACCCAAUUUCUGUGGGAAGCAAGCAGGACUGGCCCAAAAUAUUUUGCUGUUUGUGGCCAAAGAAAACCAGGCAGCAAACGGAGGCAAACCAGGCAGGCAGUUGAAUUUUACUUCACCCUAAGAUAGACAAGGGACAUGGGUGGCGUUGUAGUCUAAAGCACUGAGCCUAGGGCUGGCCGAUCGGAAGUUCGGCAGUUCGAAUCCCCGCAAUGGGGUGAGCUCCCGUUGUUUGCUCCUGCCAACCUAGCAGUUCAAAAGCAUGUCAAAGUGCAAGUAGAUAAAUAGGUACCGCUCUGGCGGGAAGGUAAACGACGUUUCCGUGCGCUGCUCUGGUUCGCCAGAAGCAGCUUAGUCAUGACCCAGAAAAACUGUCUGUGGACAAACGUCGGCUCCCUUGGCCAGUAAAGCGAGAUGAGUGCCGCAACCCAGAGUCGUUUGCGACUGGACUUAACUGUCAGGGGUCCGUUAUCUUUUUAAGGUAGACAAGACGCCAGUCUCACUUAGGCGUAGGGGGAGAGAUAUAAGUCAUGUGCCACACACAGGGCUGUUCUCCAACACUUCAGCCCCCCCCCCAAUAAACCUAUGUCCGUCUCCUCAUCCCCCAACAUCAGCUGCCUCACUCCGCCUAAUGAUAAUGCUGGUCCUGCCCUCUUGUAAUUUGGCCUGCCUUCCACUCCCUCACAAAAUAAGAGGAUAUUCCACAAGUGUCUUCUGUUGGAUCAAAACAAGGCACCAAGCAUGUGAGAAGUGGCUUGGACAGGCCACUUCUGGCAGGAAGUAAUCAAGGGAGCAGCAAUACCAUGUCAAACUAUUAGCACCUGAAGAAGCAAAAUUAAAAUAUCUUAUGUGAAGAAAAUUUUAUCAUUUCAUACAUUCAAAUGCUCAUCAUUUGUAGCAUUUGUUUUUUGGCUAGCCUGAAAGCAUUUGACAAGAGUGUUGGUGCAAGCAAUAACUUGUACAAAACUUUAUUCAUUGUCAAACUGUAUAUGAAAUCAGAUUUACAGUUGCUCACAGCAUUAAAUACCUCCUCAUUAAUCUCAAUCUGCAUCUGCAUGCUUGUAAGUAUCAGUACUUUAUUCCAUAAACAGGUUCUACCUUCUUACUGAUGUUACUAGGUGAGUAUUUGAAGGUUUUGAUUUUUUUUUAGUUUCUGCAUCUUUUAAGAACUUGCGUAAUGAACAAGAUUUGACAACAUUAAUUACACAUUAACCAGGCAAUCCUAUGGUCUUGGCACAUGAGAGGGCCACUUACACUGACAUAACACUGGCAUGAUGCAGUAUACACACUCCGCCUUGAAAUCACACUUGAAGGACAUUUUUCCUCUCAGAGAAUUCUGGGCACUGCAGUUUACCCCUCACAGAGUUCCCGGCAGCCCUUAGGUGCUUCAAAUGUGAUUUCAAGGUCGUGUGUGUACACAGUCUUAGUAUAACUUAUACUCCCCUAUCCUCCAC